UUUAAUUGAAGAGUUUGAUCAUGGCUCAGAUUGAACGCUGGCGGCAGGCCUAACACAUGCAAGUCGAGCGGCAGCACAGAGGAACUUGUUCCUUGGGUGGCGAGCGGCGGACGGGUGAGUAAUGCCUGGGAAAUUGCCCGGUAGAG
rnacentral:rRNA from 2 species